GAUGAAGAACGCAGCGAAAUGCGAUAGUAGUGUGAAUUGCAGAAUUCAGUGAAUCAUCGAAUCUUUGAACGCACAUUGCGCCCUUUGGUAUUCCUUAGGGCAUGCCUGUUCGAGCGUCAUUUAAACCUUCAAGCUAAGCUUGGUGUUGGGUGACUGUCCGCUUCACGGCGGACUCGCCUCAAAAUUAUUGGCGGCCGGUACAUUGGCUUCGAGCGCAGCAGAAACGCGAACUCGGGCCCGUCGUAUUGGCUCCCAGAAGCUAUCUUCACAAUUUUGACCUCGGAUCAGGUAGGGAUACCCGCUGAACUUAAGCAUAUCAAUAAGCGGAGGA
rnacentral:misc_RNA from 1 species